GAAAUGCGAAAAGCAAUGCGAAUUGCAGAAUUCCGCGAGUCAUCAGAUCUUCGAACGCAUCUGGCGUCUAUCGGAUAUCCGAUAGACAUGUUUGUUUCAGUGUGUUGUUAAGACUCACAAAUCUCAAUGUGAUUGACGGGCAGUUGGCUCUCUGAGUCUACUCUCGUCUCUCAUGAAAGAAGCGCUGUGCGAUCAGCAGUGAUGCAGUAGUCAGUCCUCGCGAUUGAUACUCAUUGGUGCAUGAUCAACUAAGCAGCAGAAGUCUAUAUCCUCAACCACGCAUCUGAGACAAGCAAGAUAACCCGCUGAACUUAA
rnacentral:misc_RNA from 1 species